UACGUAGGGUGCGAGCGUUAAUCGGAAUUACUGGGCGUAAAGGGCUCGUAGGUGGCCAACUAAGUCAGACGUGAAAUCCCUCGGCUUAACCGGGGAACUGCGUCUGAUACUGGAUGGCUUGAGUUUGGGAGAGGGAUGCGGAAUUCCAGGUGUAGCGGUGAAAUGCGUAGAUAUCUGGAGGAACACCGGUGGCGAAGGCGGCAUCCUGGACCAAUACUGACACUGAGGAGCGAAAGCCAGGGGAGCAAACGGG
rnacentral:rRNA from 1 species